rnacentral:rRNA from 1 species
AUACGGAGGGUCCAAGCGUUAUCCGGAAUCAUUGGGUUUAAAGGGUCCGCAGGCGGAUUAAUAAGUCAGUGGUGAAAUCCUCUCGCUCAACGAGAGAACUGCCAUUGAAACUGUUAGUCUUGAAUUCGGUCGAAGUAGGCGGAAUGUGUCAUGUAGCGGUGACAUGCAUAGAUAUGACACAGAACACCGAUAGCGAAGGCAGCUUACUAGACCUGGAUUGACGCUCAUGGACGAAAGCGUGGGGAGCGAACAGGAUUAGAAACCCCAGUAGUCC